CCCUUAGACGUUCUGGGCCGCACGCGCGCUACACUGACACAGGCAACGAGCUUUCCUUUACCGAAAGGUAUGGGUAAUCUUUUGAAAUUGUGUCGUGCUGGGGAUAGAUCCUUGCAAUUUUUGAUCUUAAACGAGGAAUUCCUAGUAAGCGCGAGUCAUCAACUCGCGUUGAUUACGUCCCUGCCCUUUGUACACACCGCCCGUCGCUACUACCGAUUGAAUGGCUUAGUGAGGCCUCAGGAUCCGCGCUUAAUGUGUGGAGAAUUUGGACAAACUACGUCAUUUAGAGGAAGUAAAAGUCGUAACA
rnacentral:rRNA from 1 species